rnacentral:tRNA from 2 species
ACUCACGUGGCGAAAUUGGUAGACGCGCUACCUUGAGGGGGUAGUGGGAGCGAUCCCGUGUUGGUUCGAGUCCAAUCGUGAGUA